AUGCUCUUCUUUUCCAUCCCGUCCUCCUCCCAAAUUCUAGCAAUGGCAGAGCCGAUUCCAGCGGAUUCCAGCACCGCGGUCACGCCUCCAGUCUAUCGGAGACGCAAUUCCUCCGAGGAAUCACGCGGCAUUUCAAGUAAUCUGUUCGGUCAAGGAAAUCUCAACCCGUUCUGCACAACUUUUUUCGAUGCAGGCGGCAAGGAUCAUGGAGUGGCCAGCUCUGCAGGGGAGACUAGCCAGGCCGCCAUUUCUGCAGGCCCUCCAGAUAAGCUUGACCCGGAGUCGGCAAAGGCGUGCCUCGAGGUGGAGAAGACGCAGCCCAGGAUCCUCCCUCUUCUGGGGAAACCAUACUUUGCAUGCGUCGUUUGCAAGUCGCAUGUUCAGCAGCCAUUUCAAGUGGUGGUUCCAAGGUCGCUGGCGCCGUUCCUCCCGUCGAAGCCGACGUCGGCGACGCUGACCUGGCAGGGUCGGUCAUGGGAGAUGCGCUUCACAGGGGGGCGGCACAUCCAGCGGCUGGAGGCUGGGUGGCGGAGCUUCGCGCUGGACAACGCGCUGAGGCUCGGCGAUGGCUGCGUGUUCGAGCUGGUGGGGUGCGAUGGCGAGGGCAUCGUGUUCAGGGUGCAGGUGCUGCGCGCCGAGAUCCCGGCGAGUAUCCGGGAGAGGGCGGGCGGGUACACCCCGUCCAGCGCCAUCGUGCUAGACUAG
rnacentral:rRNA from 1 species